rnacentral:rRNA from 1 species
UACAGAGGUCUCAAGCGUUGUUCGGAUUCAUUGGGCGUAAAGGGCGCGUAGGUGGCCCGGUCAGUUCGUGGUGAAAGCGCGGGGCUCAACCCUGCGUCGGCCAUGAAUACUGCCGCGGCUGGAGCACUGUAGAGGCAGGCGGAAUCCGGGUGUAGCGGUGGAAUGCGUAGAGAUCCGGAAGAACACCGGUGGCGAAGGCGGCCUGCUGAGCAGUUGCUGACACUGAGGCGCGACAGCGUGGGAGCAACAGGAUGAGAACCUAGAG